AUUGAACGCUGGCGGCAUGCUUUACACAUGCAAGUCGAACGGUAACAGGCCGCAAGGUGCUGACGAGUGGCGAACGGGUGAGUAAUGCAUCGGAACGUGCCCAGUCGUGGGGGAUAACGCAGCGAAAGCUGCGCUAAUACCGCAUACGAUCUGUGGAUGAAAGCGGGGGACCUUCGGGCCUCGCGCGAUUGGAGCGGCCGAUGUCAGAUUAGGUAGUUGGUGGGGUAAAGGCUCACCAAGCCGACGAUCUGUAGCUGGUCUGAGAGGAAGACCAGCCACACUGGGACUGAGACACGGCCCAGACUCCUACGGGAGUCAGCAGUGGGGGAUUUUGGACAGUGGGGGCAACCCUGAUCCAGCAAUGCCGCGUGCAGGAAGAAGGCCUCCGGGUUGUAAACUGCUUUUGUACGGAACGAAAAGGCUCUGGUUAAUACCUGGGGCACAUGACGGUACCGUAAGAAUAAGCACCGGCUAACUACGUGCCAGCCGCCGCCGUAAGAC
rnacentral:rRNA from 1 species